AUGAUUUUGAAGGGAAAAAGUAAUAAAACUGAAGAUAUCAGAUUAAAGACCGGUUGGUUCUUUAUGAAAAAUGACAAAAUAGAAUUGAAAGUGCUAAUUUACCGUACAAAUGAUAUUUCUCAUCUAAACAUAUUGGGCUCAAUAUUAAACAUGCAAAUACCGCACUUAAAAGUACGGACAAUUUUUUCAUGA